rnacentral:rRNA from 1 species
UACGUAGGGAGCAAGCGUUGUCCGGAAUCCUUGGGCGUAAAGCGCGCGUAGGUGGCUUCGUAAGUCCGUUGUGAAAGUCAAAGGCUCAACCUUUGAAAGCCGAUGGAUGCUGCGGAGCUAGAGUACGGAAGAGGCGAGUGGAAUUCCUGGUGUAGCGGUGGAAUGCGCAGAUAUCAGGAGGAACACCAAUAGCGAAGGCAGCUCGCUGGGACGUUACUGACACUGAGGCGCGAAAGCGUGGGGAGCGAACAGG